GAGUCGUAACAAGGUUUCCGUAGGUGAACCUGCGGAAGGAUCAUUAACUAUUGCACCUGUGCAUUAACCAUUGUGAACCGAGGCCUGUGUGGUCUUUGGGACCUUGGUCUCAGAGACCCCAAGGUCUUACACUGUGCAAACAGUGACAUAUACCUUUAAAGAGCCUGAUUUCAUAAAUUUUAAAAAAAAACAAUUUUUAACAAUGGAUCUCUUGGCUCUUGCAACGAUGAAGAACGCAGUGAAUUGCGAUAAGUAAUGUGAAUUGCAUUAUUCUGUGAAUCAUCGAAUCUUUGAACGCAUUUUGCGCUCUUUGGGUUAACCAGAGAGCAUAUCUGUUCGAGUAUCAGAAAAUACUAUCCUCUUCUGAGAGGGAUUUGAGGGUUCAGUGUCAACUGUCCUUUGAAAUGUAUACAGAGAGCCAUCUUGCUCAAGUGUGGUAAAAGACGGAUGUUCUUUCCCACUGUCACAUGAUGUGUUUUCGUUGUAUGUGGGGGUGUAUACGGUGUACUUAUACCCUAUAUACUCUCAAUCCGUACUCUAUGAUCUCGAAUCAGAUAAGACUACCCGCUGAACUUAA
rnacentral:rRNA from 1 species